rnacentral:piRNA from 1 species
UACAUAGUCAAGACUCUUGUCUUCCCCAAG